AUACGGAGGACGCGAGCGUUAUCCGGAUUUAUUGGGUUUAAAGGGAGCGUAGGUGUGAUAUUAAGUCAGCUGUGAAAGUUUGGGGCUCAACCUUAAAAUUGCAGUUGAUACUGGUUUCCUUGAGUGCGGUACAGGUGGGCGGAAUUCGUGGUGUAGCGGUGAAAUGCUUAGGUAUCACGAAGAACUCCGAUCGCGAAGGCAGCUCACCGGGCCGGAACUGACACUGAUGCUCGAAAGUGCGGGUAUCAAACAGGAUUAGAUACCCUGGUAGUCCGCACAGUAAACGAUGAAUACUCGCUGUUUGCGAUACACUGUAAGCGGCCAAGCGAAAGCGUUAAGUAUUCCACCUGGGGAGUACGCCGGCAACGGUGAAACUCAAAUGAAUUGACGGGG
rnacentral:rRNA from 1 species